GGUUAAAUGGGGGAUUCUCGAAGAGAAAAUGCAAGACUUUCGGUUAAAUGGGGGAUUUUUGUGGUAAAAAUGCGUGGCUUUCAGGUUAAAUGGGGGUUUGUCGAAGAGAAAAUGCAUGAUUUCUGGGUUGAAUGUUUUUUUUUUUUCCUUUAGAGAAAAGUGGUGAUUUUUGAUUGUGUAUUUUUCCAAGAGAAAAUGCAUGGUUUUUCGAUUAAACGGGGGAUUUUUGAAAAGAAAAUGCGUGACUUUCGGUUAAAUGGGGGAUUUUUGUGGUAAAAAGGCAUGGCUUUCAGGCUAAAGCGGGGAUUCUCGAAGAGAAAAUACAUGAUUUCUGCAUUGAAUGUUUUGUUUUGUUUUCGUUUAGAGAAAAGUGGUGAUUUUUGAUUGUGUAUUUUUCCAAGAGAAAAUGCAUGGUUUUUCGAUUAAAUGGGGGAUUUUUGAAAAGAAAAUGCGUGACUUUUGGGAUAGGUCAGAGAUUCUUGAAGAGAAAAUGCAUCAUUAUUGGGUGACAUGGGGGAUUUCCGAAGCGAAAUUGCGUUUUUUCGAGUUAAAUGGGGGUUUUUGAAGAGAAAAUGCAUGAUUUUCAUUUACAUGUGAGAUUGUUGUAGAGGAAAUGCGUGACUUUGGGGUUAAAUGGGGGAUUGUUGUAGCGAAAGUGUUUGCUUUGGGGCUCAACUGGGGGAUUUUUGAAGAGAAAAAGCGUGAUUUUCAGGUUAAAUGGGGGAUUUUCCUAGAGUAAAUGUGUGGUUUUAGGGUUAAGGGGGUAUUUUUGAAGAGAAAAUGCAUGAUUUGGGGGCUAAGAGGGGAUUUUCCACGAGAAAAUGUGUGAUCUUCGAGUUAAAAUGGGGAUUUUCCAAGAGAAAAUGCCUGAUUUUG
ensembl:lncRNA